UACGUAGGGUGCGAGCGUUAAUCGGAAUUACUGGGCGUAAAGUGUGCGCAGGCGGCCGAGCAAGUCGAGUGUGAAAGCCCCGGGCUUAACUUGGGAAUUGCGCUCGAAACUACUUGGCUGGAGUGUGGCAGAGGAAGGUGGAAUUCCAGGUGUAGCGGUGAAAUGCGUAGAGAUCUGGAGGAACACCGAUGGCGAAGGCAGCCUUCUGGGCCAACACUGACGCUCAUGCACGAAAGCGUGGGGAGCGAACCGG
rnacentral:rRNA from 1 species